CUCCUGGAAACGGGUGGUAAUGCCGGAUGCUCCGGUUGGAUGCAUGUCCUUCCGGGAAAGAUCCGUCGGUAUGGGAUGGGGUCGCGUCCUAUCAGCUUGAUGGCGGGGUAACGGCCCACCAUGGCUUCGACGGGUAGCCGGCCUGAGAGGGCGACCGGCCACAUUGGGACUGAGAUACGGCCCAGACUCCUACGGGAGGCAGCAGUGGGGAAUAUUGCACAAUGGGCGCAAGCCUGAUGCAGCGACGCCGCGUGCGGGAUGACGGCCUUCGGGUUGUAAACCGCUUUUGAUCGGGAGCAAGCCUUCGGGUGAGUGUACCUUUCGAAUAAGCACCGGCUAACUACGUGCCAGCAGCCGCGGUAAUACGUAGGGUGCAAGCGUUAUCCGGAAUUAUUGGGCGUAAAGGGCUCGUAGGCGGUUCGUCGCGUCCGGUGUGAAAGUCCAUCGCUUAACGGUGGAUCCGCGCCGGGUACGGGCGGGCUUGAGUGCGGUAGGGGAGACUGGAAUUCCCGGUGUAACGGUGGAAUGUGUAGAUAUCG
rnacentral:rRNA from 1 species